rnacentral:rRNA from 1 species
GAUGAACGCUGGCGGCGUGCCUAAUACAUGCAAGUCGAGCGAACGGACGAGAAGCUUGCUUCUCUGAUGUUAGCGGCGGACGGGUGAGUAACACGUGGAUAACCUACCUAUAAGACUGGGAUAACUUCGGGAAACCGGAGCUAAUACCGGAUAAUAUUUUGAACCGCAUGGUUCAAAAGUGAAAGACGGUCUUGCUGUCACUUAUAGAUGGAUCCGCGCUGCAUUAGCUAGUUGGUAAGGUAACGGCUUACCAAGGCUACGAUGCAUAGCCGACCUGAGAGGGUGAUCGGCCACACUGGAACUGAGACACGGUCCAGACUCCUACGGGAGGCAGCAGUAGGGAAUCUUCCGCAAUGGGCGAAAGCCUGACGGAGCAACGCCGCGUGAGUGAUGAAUGUCUUCGGAUCGUAAAACUCUGUUAUUAGGGAAGAACAUAUGUGUAAGUAACUGUGCACAUCUUGACGGUACCUAAUCAGAAAGCCACGGCUAACUACGUG